UGUCUGAAGUGACUGAAACACAUAUGGCUUCAGUGUGUCAAGAAGACCUGAAAGAUCCCACAUGGAAGUGAAAUUCAUUAUUGGCAAGCACGGUGACAGGAGACCCCAGAGGGCUGAGCCACAAAGAAUUUGCAGAGCCGCAAGGCUAACUCUACGGCCUAGUUUGAUCUUGAAGUUAUUGUCUUGGAUAAUCCUCUCCAAUCUGUUCCUGCACUUAAGAGCCACUCAGCACAUGAUGGAGCGCCCUCUCAGGUUCCUUUACAUCGCCCUGUCAGGGAUGACGUGAUGUCAGGGAACACAGACAUCAUGUCAAAUCAUCCAACAGAUGUCCCCUUCAAAUAAGUUGGAGCAGAACCAACUAUAUGGAGAAGUCAUAAACAAGGAAACAGACAACCCAGUGAUUUUCAGCGCAUUGGCACUGCUCUUUGCACGGAAACCUCAGUCUCCAGGGUGGAAGAACACAAGUUCAACAGAGUGUGUGUGCACUAUGCGGGCUGACUCUUGCCCUGCUCAGGCUCAUGCUACUGACAGGGGACACUUUGGAAUCCAAAUCCUGCAUCAUCUCAACGAAAUGUUGUGCAACGUCACGGCUCUAAGAAGUAACCAAUUUUAAUCACUGGCAUCAAGGAGUCAGGACAGAGAAACCCAGUA